rnacentral:rRNA from 1 species
UUGGAGGGCAAGUCUGGUGCCAGCAGCCGCGGUAAUUCCAGCUCCAAUAGCGUAUAUUAAAGUUGUUGCAGUUAAAAAGCUCGUAGUUGAAUUUCGGGAUCAAUAUAUUGGUCGUGCCUCUGGUAUGCACUGGUAUUAUUGAUUUCUACCUUCUGACGAACUGUGAUGUCAUUAAUUUGGUGUCAUGGGGAAUCAGGACUGUUACUUUGAAAAAAUUAGAGUGUUUAAAGCAGGCACACGCUUGAAUACAUUAGCAUGGAAUAAUGAAAUAGGACGUUUGACCCUAUUUUGUUGGUUUCUAGGAUCGACGUAAUGAUUAAUAGGGAUAGUUGGGGGCAUUAGUAUUCAAUUGUCAGAGGUGAAAUUCUUGGAUUUAUUGAAGACUAACUACUGCGAAAGCAUUUGCCAAGGAUGUUUUCAUUAAUCAAGAACGAAAGUUAGGGGAUCGAAGACGAUCAGAUACCGUCGUAGUCUUAACCAUAAACUAUGCCGACUAGGGAUCGGAUGAUGUUAAUUUUUUAAUGACUCAUUCGGCGCCUACGGGAAAC